rnacentral:lncRNA from 1 species
GGUGGAGAGCAGGAAGGGUGCUGUGCCACGUCCAGGGCCAUGGUCCGCUGGUCCCAGGCCUGACUCCCAUGGCGUCUCAGUGUGGCC